rnacentral:rRNA from 1 species
UACAGAGGUCCCGAGCGUUGUUCGGAUUCAUUGGGCGUAAAGGGUGCGUAGGCGGCGGGGAAAGUCUGAUGUGAGAUCCUGGGGCUCAACCCUGGAACUGCAUUGGAUACUUCCUUGCUAGAGUACUGGAGAGGAAACUGGAAUUUACGGUGUAGCAGUGAAAUGCGUAGAGAUCGUAAGGAAGACCAGUGGCGAAGGCGAGUUUCUGGACAGUUACUGACGCUGAGGCACGAAGGCCAGGGGAGCAAACGGG